UACGGAGGGGGCGAGCGUUAUUCGGAAUUAUUGGGCGUAAAGGGCGCGUAGGCGGCUUGUCAAGUCAAAGGUGAAAUCCCUCGGCUCAACUGAGGAACUGCCUUUGAAACUAGCGAGCUUGAGGCCGGGAGGGGGUAGCGGAAUUCCCAGUGUAGCGGUGAAAUGCGUAGAUACUGGGAGGAACACCAGUGGCGAAGGCGGCUACCUGGACCGGUUCUGACGCUGAGGCGCGAAAGCGUGGGGAGCAAACAGG
rnacentral:rRNA from 1 species